rnacentral:misc_RNA from 1 species
GAUGAAGAACGCAGCGAAAUGCGAUAAGUAAUGUGAAUUGCAGAAUUCAGUGAAUCAUCGAAUCUUUGAACGCACAUUGCGCCCCUUGGUAUUCCGAGGGGCAUGCCUGUUCGAGCGUCAUUAUAACCCCUCAAGCUCAGCUUGGUGUUGGGGCCUGCUGCACUGGCAGCCCUUAAAAUCAGUGGCGGCGCCAUCUGGCUCUAAGCGUAGUAAUUCUUCUCGCUAUGGAGUCCUGGUGGAUGCUUGCCAUCAACCCCCAACUUUUCUAUGGUUGACCUCGGAUCAGGUAGGGAUACCCGCUGAACUUAAGCAUAUCAACAAGCGGAGGA